rnacentral:tRNA from 1 species
GCCGGGGUGGCGGAAUGGCAGACGCGGCGGACUUAAAAUCCGCUGUCAGCAAUGACUUGUGGGUUCGAGUCCCUCCCUCGGCACCA